CAUCAUAGGAAAGACAAAAAAAAAAGGAGCAUGGUUUUCUUGGAUCUCUCUCCCUCAAAGGUUUCUCUUCAACCAGAGGCUUAGAGAAACUUUUGUUGGAGAGGAACCCCAGAAUGGUCCAAUGCAUGCAUCAUCUGUUUCCCCCUUAGUUCUUUGGCUCUAAUCUAACAUUUCGUCUUUUCCUGUAGGUUAGCAGUAAUAUGCAAAAAUUAGGCUUUUUGGUGAACAUCAACAAGCGAGAAUAAGAUCUUUCAUCCGUCUUUCUCCAGCUCAAUGAUUUUGGUCGGGAUGAUGGCACAUAGUCUAUAAAGAAAGAUCCACAAUUAUCAAGUUUUACUUCACCCUGGCCUUGAGCAGUUUAAGAAUCAUGUCAGUUCUACAGGUGCACAACAAAAAUAGAAAGAUAAAAUUACCAACAAAUUAGCGACUCAUGCAGACCCUUACAAACAUCUUUAAAUUGAGGUCAACUACAGUAUACAGUUGAUACAGCAUCAUAUUACUCCUGUCGGAAGCCCUCGGAGCAAGAGUGAAGAUUACAGGCACCUGCUUUUCGCAGCUCGACUCAGACAAAGGCUUCAUUCCAAGUCCAUCAACUCCUAGAUUGGAUUCCGCCUAGCUUGAUUAGCAACUACGUUGCUGCUUCUGAAUGAAACGUGUCGCCGAAUCCACUUUCUGUUCCAAAUUCAGCAGACGAUGCUUCUAUAUCAUGUGUUCUUUCCCAAUUGUGUUUGGUUCCAAAUCCAGCAACCAGUUCAUCGUCCCAAUUACCUUUGUCGUCAGUCCAGAUCGAAUGUGAUGAUUGGGUGUUGCAUCUUUCCAACGGCCUGAUCUCGAAUUGGUUCUGUAUGUCUUCAAGCUCCUCCGUAGACACAGUAUGCCUCUUCACACCAAUCUCGAGGUCGAAGCUUGGCUUUGACAGAUCUGGAGGCAUAACUUGCCCUGUAGAAUGUAAUGAGGUGAACCUGGCUGAAUCCUCUAUCACCUUUGCUCGAAAAUUAUUCAUCGACUUGGGAAUUCCUGAGAAGAGGACCUCCUUCACAUUAUGAAAACACCCAUGGUUAUAGGGAUUCA